UACGGAGGGUGCAGCGUUGUCCGGAUUUAUUGGGUUUAAAGGUGGCGUAGGCGGCCCGGUAAGUCGAGUGGUGAAGCCGUCCGACGCUCAACUGGAGAACUGCCAUUGAUACUGCCGGGCUUGAGUGACAGACGUAGGGUUGGCGGAAUUGAUUGUGUAGCGGUGAAAUGCAUAGAUACAAUCAAGAACUCCGAUUGCGUAGGCGCUA
rnacentral:rRNA from 1 species